rnacentral:rRNA from 1 species
CUUUACUGUAACCUGGUAUUGGGUUCGGGCUUUGACUGCGCAGGAUAGGUGGGAGACUAUGAAGCAAUCCUUGUGGGGAUUGUGGAGUCAACAGUGAGAUACCACUCUGUCAGAGCUAGAAUUCUAACCUUCACCCGUUAUCCGGGGAAGGAACCGUAUCAGGCGGGCAGUUUGACUGGGGCGGUCGCCUCCUAAAUGGUAACGGAGGCGCGCAAAGGUGUUCUCAGGCUGGUUGGAAAUCAGCCGCAGAGUGUAAAGGCAGAAGAACGCUUGACUGUGAGAGUGACAACUCGAGCAGGGUGGAAACACGGCCUUAGUGAUCCGACGGCGCAGAAUGGAAUGGCCGUCGCUCAACGGAUAAAAGUUA